rnacentral:rRNA from 1 species
UGGGGAAUCUUGCGCAAUGGGGGAAACCCUGACGCAGCGACGCCGCGUGCGGGAUGAAGGCCUUCGGGUUGUAAACCGCUUUCAGCAGGGACGAGGCCUUAUGGUGACGGUACCUGCAGAAGAAGCUCCGGCUAAAUACGUGCCAGCAGCCGCGGUAAUACGUAUGGAGCAAGCGUUAUCCGGAUUCAUUGGGCGUAAAGCGCUCGUAGGCGGUCUGUUAGGUCGGCAAGUUAAAUCCGGGGGCUCAACCCCCGUCCGCUUCCGAUACCGGCAGACUUGAGUUUGGUAGGGGAAGGUGGAAUUCCUAGUGUAGCUAUGGAAUGCGCAGAUAUUAGGAAGAACACCGGUGGCGAAGGCGGCCUUCUGGGCCAUAACUGACGCUGAGGAGCGAAAGCUAGGGGAGCGAACAGG